GACGAACGCUGGCGGCGUGCCUAAUACAUGCAAGUCGAACGCAGUGGGGACGGGUGAGUACCACGUGGGUAACCUCCCAUCAGAGGGGAUAACCCUUGGCAACAGGUGCUAAACCGAUCUUGAUGGAUGGACUCGCGGUGCAUUAGCUAGUUGGUGAGGUCACGGCGCACCAAGGCCACGAUGCAUAGCCGACAUGAGAGGGUGAUCGGCCACACUGGGACUGAGACACGGCCCAGACUCCUACGGGAGGCAGCAGUAGGGAAUCUUCGGCAAUGGACGAAAGUCUGACCGAGCAACGCCGCGGGAAUGAAGAAGGUUUUCGGAUCGUAAAACUCUGUUGUUAGAGAAGCGGUAUCUAACCAGAAAGCCACGGCUAACUACGUGCCAGCAGCCGCGGUAAUAC
rnacentral:rRNA from 1 species